rnacentral:rRNA from 1 species
GACAGAGGGUGCAACCGUUGUUCGGAAUUACUGGGCGUAAAGCGCGUGUAGGCGGUCAGGCAAGUCGGAUGUGAAAUCCCGUGGCUCAACUACGGAAGUGCACCCGAAACUGCUUGACUUGAGUCCCGGAGAGGAAGGCGGAAUGCUUGGUGUAGAGGUGAAAUUCGUAGAUAUCAAGCGGAACACCGGUGGCGAAGGCGGCCUUCUGGACGAGGACUGACGCUGAGACGCGAAAGCGUGGGGAGCAAACAGG